AACGACCGUGGCAGGGAAUGGCCGCGGGAUGACGUGAAUCCCGGAAUAAGCCCCGGCUAACUACGUGCCAGCAGCCGCGGUAACACGUAGGGGGCGAGCGUUGUUAGGAAUCAUUGGGCGUAAAGGGCGUGCAGGCGGUCCUGCAAGUCCGGCGUGAAAGACCCCGGCCCAACCGGGGGGGCGCGCUGGAAACUGCAGGGCUUGAGUACAGGAGGGGAUGCCGGAAUUCCAGGUGUAGGGGUGAAAUCUGUAGAUAUCUGGAGGAACACCAAUGGCGAAGGCAGGCAUCUGGCCAUGUACUGACGCUGAGACGCGAAGGUGCGGGGAGCAAACAGGUUUAGAUACCCUGGUAGUCCGCACAGUAAACGAUGUGCACCA
rnacentral:rRNA from 1 species